UGCUUGUUUCAGCGUGUCGGUUUUUCCUGUGUGAGUAAAUCAACAAUGCUCUAAAUAUCGCUCUGAUCGGUCACGUCCCUCUUUUAACUGUGUCUAAUUAUGUCCAAAUCAUGUCACGUAUAUGACAAACAUUGAUGUAUGAAUCGCGAUUUGGUGGUCGAUGGAUAUUUGUUUUUCUCAUGGGUACUCGUGCUAGUAAACAGAACCAUUGUUUAUUACUGUUUAUUUCUAAAUCGAAAUGCGGCGGACGCGAACAGAUUGAUUAAUUAAUUGUUCACUAUCAAAUUAUUACCGCGACUUUCACAAACCAGCUCGUGUUUAACCUAAAAGAGGCUGUCGAUGCUUGUCAGACGAAAAUAAGCCAAUUAUAACUUUGUGUCAACAGGGGUUACAGUGUCGUAUACUGUCUCAAUUUUUUAUGAUAUGAUGAUUGGAGAAACUGAACAUCGAAUGCACAUGAUACUUUCGAUACAAUUCAAUAGUCAGUAAAUUAGUUCUCCGAUGAAUCCAUUGCCGAACUUAUCUGAUAUAGUGUAUGAAAAAUUCCUGUGAAAAUUUGUUACCAUAUUAAGAUUUCUGUGACAAAACAGGACGAUGUGAACAUGUGUGUAUAUUUAUGUGCAGCAACGUGAAGUAGGCUGACAUUAUGCAGAAAUUCAGCAAUGGGUACCUGUUCGUAGUCGAGACUGGCAGACAGCGUGAAAACCCCGGUGUUUGGGUUCAGUGAGAACACAUCGUUAGCCCAGUCGGAAAUCAAGGCGUAGCUCAAUUGGCUGUUGGGCCCUUCGCCAUCGAUGUCAGUGGCAACCACCUGGCCAACGCGACUUCCUCUGAGGGCGUUCUCAGGAACGUCGAAAGAGUAAGCCAUGGCCUGGAAUGUGGGGGCAUUGUCGUUCGUGUCCGUUAUCUGGAACAGCGCAGCAGGAAGAGUUUUCUUUAUCUCUAGAUGAAAGGGAGAAAGGAACGCGAGCCAGGUUUAAAUUCGAACGGCAUUCCGAAUUGGGCGAUUGAAGAUGUCUAGGGGCUUCUUGGAUGAAAGACCGUAAUGGCGGUGGAGGGGUUUGCAAAAACUAACCGAGCCUCAAGAUGAUGAGGAGACGCGCUGCCUGGUGGAUACUGGAAUUGGUGAGAGAGAACGGAGGGGGAAGUAAGAGGCCGAACGAGCACAAGAGUAAGAGAUGAAGGGAGCGUUACAGGAGGAAGAAAAAGGGACAGAGCGAUGAAGAGAGAUGCUCCUUGGGAACGUGUGUGUACGAGAAAGACGGAACGACGUUUCCAGCUAACGAAGAGUGUUAGUUGACCGUAAUCACUCGACUACACGCGCCGGCUAAUUUCUACGCAGGAUGCAAUUUGACGCCAAUAGCGCUGUCUUGGAAUGGCGCUGCACUCGUCGAUCAUUGUUCUCUCCCGGUUGUUAACUACCUAACAAGAAAUCAGCACUGACAUUAGCGGGUCGUUCGAUCAUCCACUUUCUAAUCUAAAUCGUAGCAGGCAUGCGGGACGGAAUUACGUCGCGCUAAACGACCCAACAGCGUCGCAACGACACGACGAUUGCAGGCUUAACUCGCUUGCGCCAAGCUCGCAGGAAGCAGACUCACGAUCAGCGACGGGGUUGAGGAAUGUCCAAGUGCCAGACCCAGCAUAUCCCUGAAGUCCCUGCUCCGCCAGCAUGGAUCGGGUGGCAUGGGAGCCGAGCAAGGCUUUCGAAGAGCUCGAAGGAGAGCGAGGCGUGGAAGGGGAGAAGCGGCAGAGGAGGGAAACCCGAAGCACCAGCAGCAGAAGAAGACGAAGAAGAAGAAGAAGACGAAAA